UAGGGAAGUCUUCCACCAAUGGGCGAAAGCCUGAUGGAGCAACGCCGCGUGUGUGAUGAAGGGUUUCGGCUCGUAAAACACUGUUGUAAGAGAAGAAUGACAUUGAGAGUAACUGUUCAAUGUGUGACGGUAUCUUACCAGAAAGGAACGGCUAAAUACGUGCCAG
rnacentral:rRNA from 1 species